rnacentral:lncRNA from 1 species
GUUAUAUAUUCUAUUUAUUUACAUAUCAUUAAUUAAUUAAAUAUAUAUAGGAUAUUAGACGGUUGCGAAGAGAUAUGGAUUUUAUAUUGGAGUGGCAAAAACGAUAUCUCACGAGUGAGCGCAGGUGAAUGAGUGAGAUAUUGUUUUUGACACAAGAACAUAAAUCCAUAUCUUCCCGCAACCAUUUAAGUUCUGUUUAUUAUAUGGACUUACUCAGAGUGACAAAAAUACACAUGAAGACGACAUGUAAAUAAGCAAGCGAAAGAAGCGUUAUUUUUUUAAAAUUAUAGUGCAAACAUAAAACUAGAAUAAAUUUUACUUAUCUCAAGAUGUCUUUUAAAUGUUUUCGUUUUAUUUCCAACGUUAAUUUCGUUUUAAAUACGAACCAAAGACCAUUUGUAUUUUCAAAACAACAAUGAAAAAGGCGGGAAAUGUUAUGUCACCCCUAAGCGUGACAUACGGAAAAUAUGCCACUCGACUCCUGGAUGUAGUGGCGUAUGAUUAAUACGAGUGUUUUAGUUCCAAAUACAAUACUCAUAUCCAUAUAAUAAAAAGUCUUACUAAUCUAUAUCUAUUUACGUUAUGUAUAAAAACUACUAAUGCAUACCUAUUUGUAUAUUAUCCAACUGAUAAAAUUUUUAAAAGAAACAUGAUUCUAAUCAACCAAUCAUAGGCUUG